ensembl:lncRNA
AUGGUUAUGCCGUUUCAGUAUGUUGUAGCACCUGGGCGCACAGCUGUUUAUGUCCCUAUACUGCCUAUGAUUCAGUUGUUGUUUAAACAUACUGAUGUACUUGACAGAAUUAAAGAAUCACAUUCUUCACAAUCUGGUCAAUACACAAAUCAUCGAGAUGGUUUGUAUUUUCAAGAAAAUGAGCUGUUAUCAGCAUCAGAGGAGUUUAAAUUGCCAUUGCUGAUUUACAUAGAUGAGAUAGAAGUUGCAAAUCCAUUAGGUACUUCGAGGAAAAUACACAAACUCUGUUCAGUGUACUGGGUACUUGCUGAUCUACCUAGCAAAUACCGAUCAGCUUUGCAUGUGAUACAGCUAGCUUUGCUGUGUAAAGUUCCUGAUGUCCAGAAAUGUGGCUAUGAGAGUGUGCUUGGCCCUUUAAUGCAAGACUUACGUACAUUAGAACAAGAUGGUGUGUUCAUUGAAUCUCUUGGUCAAUCUGUUAAAGGCACUGUUCUUUUUGUUGCAGCAGAUAAUCUUGCAGCUCACGGAUUGGCAGGCUUUGUACAGUCAUUCCGUUCAGAGUAUGUGUGCAGAUUCUGUCUGGCAACUCUAGACCAGUUUCAAUCGCAUGAAGUUGCUGAGGGUGAAUUCAGUCUGAGAACUAAGGUAACUCAUGAUCUGCAUGUCCAGAAUGUCUCCAGUAGAAAUGGGGAAAGUAAUUGUGGUGUGAAAGGGGACUGUGUCUUAAAACAAAAGCUGCAGUAUUUUCAUCCAAUCACUGGUUUCCCCCCUGAUAUUCUCCAUGACCUCCUUGAAGGUAUUGUGCCAGUAGAGUUGGCUUUAUGCAUUCAAAAAAUGAUUCGUCUGAAACACUUCACACUUGAUUAUUUGAACAGUAAAAUUGAAUCAUUCCCAUAUCAGCAUACAGAUAAGGUUGAUAGACCCAAGCCAAUUUCCAAAACUUAUACCACAAAAAUGACAAUAGGUGGUAAUGGUCAUGAAAAUGCUGCAUUACUUCGGCUACUUCCAUUCAUGGUUGGCAGUGUUGUACCAGAGGGAGAUAGUGCAUGGGCAGUGUUAAUGGAAUUGAAAGACAUUGUGGAGUUAGUGCUGUCUCCAACAUUUACUGAAGAGAUGAUUCAGUAUUUACAGAGUAAAAUUAGGGACCACAGGCAAAUUCUUCUUGAAGUAUUUCCAGAUUUUAAGAUUAGGCCAAAGCAUCACUACGUCGAACAUUAUCCAGAGCUGAUCAGAUGUUUUGGACCUCUUGUACAUUUAUGGACCAUGCGUUUUGAAGGCAAACACCGCUUCUUCAAACGGGUUGUGCACGAUACACAGAACUUUAAAAAUGUGCUGAAGACACUGGCAAGCAGACACCAGCAUAUGAUGGCUUACCAUCUAAGUGCGCCAGCGUUCUUCAAACCACAUUUGCAGGCAUCAACUGUGACAUCUGUUUUAGUUUCAACACUACCUGAAGUGGCAAUACAGUAUAUUAAACAGAAGACUGAUAGUAACACUAUAUACUGUGCAUCUCAAAUCACCAUUGAUGGGACAAAUAUUUCUACUGGGGAAUAUUUUCCUGCUGGUUUUGAAGCAGGGUUACCUCAGUUUUGUAAAACUGAGUCAAUCGUCCUUGUGAACGAUCAUGUGGCCUUCCUAUGCAGGGAGCACAAGUCCCAUUAUAUUGAACACCUAAGAGCCUUUAAUCUGUGUUUAGGUGAUAUAUCUGUUAAAAAAAUAACAGAUUUGAGUGAUACAUCCCCCCUUUCUGCCUACUGUAUAGAGGGCAAGUUGCUGUUGACGCCAAAGCGAUUUCUACCUUUACAAUAA